GGAAUGGGAACCCUCUUAUAAAGAGAAAGUGAUAGCAACUCGUGGAAAACCCCCACAUUCCUCUUCUCCAUCUCUCGUGAAGACUGUUCCAAAUGCGAUACAUCAUCAUAUGGUGAUACAUAAGGUAGCUCCAUCCAAUCUCGAAUCCACUCUCUCACUUCCUUCCUAAUGAAAAAACCUGGAGGAAGCUUCCAGUUAAAUGCUGGCCUAGUUCUGAUUCCUG
rnacentral:misc_RNA from 1 species